GUCGUCCGUUCCCAUCCUGGGUCUGCAGCAGGACCCAAGGGUGCGGCUGUUCGCCGAUUAAAGGGGAAUCCGAGAUGGGUUUAGUCCGUCGCGAGACAGGACGGAUUCUACCUGCUGGGAGUGUUGGCCGCCUGAGGGGAGGAUGCCCCUAGUACGAGAGGAACGGGGCAUCGCAGCCUCUAGUUUACCGGUUGUCCGACAGGGCACUGCCGGGCAGCCACGCUGUUGGGGAUAAGGGCUGAAAGCAUCUAAGCCCGAAGCCCCUCCCGAAAAUAGGCGGCCGUUCCAGCUCAACUUUAGAC
rnacentral:rRNA from 1 species